AAAUUGAAGAGUUUGAUCAUGGCUCAGAUUGAACGCUGGCGGCAGGCCUAACACAUGCAAGUCGAACGGUAACAGGAAGAAGCUUGCUUCUUUGCUGACGAGUGGCGGACGGGUGAGUAAUGUCUGGGAAACUGCCUGAUGGAGGGGGAUAACUACUGGAAACGGUAGCUAAUACCGCAUAACGUCGCAAGACCAAAGAGGGGGACCUUCGGGCCUCUUGCCAUCGGAUGUGCCCAGAUGGGAUUAGCUAGUAGGUGGGGUAACGGCUCACCUAGGCGACGAUCCCUAGCUGGUCUGAGAGGAUGAGCAGCCACACUGGAACUGAGACACGGUCCAGACUCCUACGGGAGGCAGCAGUGGGGAAUAUUGCACAAUGGGCG
rnacentral:rRNA from 1 species